rnacentral:rRNA from 1 species
AGUUUGAUCAUGGCUCAGAGUGAACGCUGGCGGCGUGCUUAACACAUGCAAGUCGAACGAGAACGGAUUAUAGCUUGCUAUAAUUGUCAGCUAAGUGGCGCACGGGUGAGUAAUGUAUAGAUAACCUGCCCUCUAGAAAGGAAUAACAGUUGGAAACGACUGCUAAUGCCCUAUAUGCCUUUAAUACAUAAGUAUGCAAGGGAAACGCUUUAGUGCUAGAGGAUGGGUCUGUAUGGUAUCAGCUUGUUGGUGAGGUAAUGGCUCACCAAGGCUAUGACGCCUAACUGGUUUGAGAGGAUGAUCAGUCACACUGGAACUGAGACACGGUCCAGACUCCUACGGGAGGCAGCAGUGGGGAAUAUUGCACAAUGGACGAAAGUCUGAUGCAGCAACGCCGCGUGGAGGAUGACACAUUUCGGUGCGUAAACUCCUUUUAUAUAGGAAGAUAAUGACGGUACUAUAUGAAUAAGCACCGGCUAACUCCGUGCCAGCAGCCGCGGUAAUACGGAGGGUGCAAGCGUUACUCGGAAUCACUGGGCGUAAAGAGCGUGUAGGCGGGUAUAUAAGUCAGAAGUGAAAUCCAAUAGCUUAACUAUUGAACUGCUUUUGAAACUGUAUACCUAGAAUGUGGGAGAGGUAGAUGGAAUUUCUGGUGUAGGGGUAAAAUCCGUAGAGAUCAGAAGGAAUACCGAUUGCGAAGGCGAUCUACUGGAACAUUAUUGACGCUGAGACGCGAAAGCGUGGGGAGCAAACAGGAUUAGAUACCCUGGUAGUCCACGCCCUAAACGAUGCACACUAGU